GAUGAAGAACGCAGCGAAAUGCGAUAAGUAGUGUGAAUUGCAGAAUUCAGUGAAUCAUCGAAUCUUUGAACGCACCUUGCGCCCUUUGGCUAUUCCGAAGGGCAUGCCUGUUUGAGUAUCAUGAAAACCUCAACUCUCAUGGCUUGCCAUGAUGAGCUUGGACUCUGGGGGUCUUGCUGGCUUUACGGUCAGCUCCUCUCAAAUAAAUCAGCUUGCCGGUGUUUGGUGGGAUCACAGGUGUGAUAACUAUCUACGCUUGUGGUUUUCCGCCAGGUAACCUUCAGCAAUGGAGGUUCGCUGGAGCUCAUAAAUGUCUCUCCUCAGCGAGGACAGAUUUUGACCGUUUGAUCUCAAAUCAGGUAGGACUACCCGCUGAACUUAAGCAUAUCAAUAAGCGGAGGA
rnacentral:misc_RNA from 1 species